rnacentral:rRNA from 1 species
GACGAACGCUGGCGGCGUGCUUAACACAUGCAAGUCGAACGGAAAGGCCCUGCUUUUGUGGGGUGCUCGAGUGGCGAACGGGUGAGUAACACGUGAGUAACCUGCCCUUGACUUUGGGAUAACUUCAGGAAACUGGGGCUCAUACCGGAUAGGAGCUCCUGCUGCAUGGUGGGGGUUGGAAAGUUUCGGCGGUUGGGGAUGGACUCGCGGCUUAUCAGCUUGUUGGUGGGGUAGUGGCUUACCAAGGCUUUGACGGGUAGGCGGCCUGAGAGGGUGACCGGCCACAUUGGGACUGAGGUACGGCCCAGACUCGUACGGGAGGCAGCAGUGGGGAAUAUUGCACAAUGGGCGGAAGCCUGAUGCAGCAACGCCGCGUGCGGGAUGACAGCUUUCGGGUUGUAAACCGCUUUCGCCUGUGACGAAGCGUGAGUGACGGUAAUGGGUAAAGAAGCACCGGCUAACUACGUG